UGUAAUUGGAUUUCUUCUGUGUGUCUUCACUCCAGCUGUCUGCCUCUACAGCAGGACCAAGACCCCAAACCAGGAGUGGGAAAGCAGCACCCUGAGUUAUGCCCAGUUUCAUGUUCAGUUGGGAAAAGAGUCCCUACAGGUGGUUCCUCCUCAACCCCACAGUUGUGCAGAAUACAGGAUGAAUCACAAGCAGAGGGAGUCGGUACUGACCUGGCCUGACAAACAUCAAGUUCAGUACAAAGCUGAAUAAGAAACAAGAGAUAUGUUGGACAGGAAAGAACAAGGGAGAGACACGUUUGUUCAGGUUUAAAAAUUAAAAUAAACGUAUAGCCAGAGAAUGAUGGCCUCAUCACAACUAAACAUGGAGAAGCAGCAUUUAGUUUUAAUGCAUCUCUCACCUGCAACAAACUCCCAGAAAACAACAGUUAUUUUAAAUUCAAUUUUUACACAGAAAUGGCACUUUUUUUGUUUUGUUUUGUUUUCAGUGUGUGCAGUUUCAUUUGGAUGUUUUUAGCAAAAUUUGGGAACGAUUUAUUAAAUAUCUUUGUUUUUUGAUUGCAUGAAAUGCCCACCAUGCUUUUUCUCUGUGUUUAUUGACUGCUGGAUUGAAACGUCCAGUGAGGAUUAUUUUCAUGUACUUUUUGGUAACAAGAACU